GUCUACAGCCAUGCUAUUCUGAACAAGUCCGAUCCUGUCUGAUCUCAAAAGCUAAGUCUGGUUAGUACCUGGAUGGGAGACCACCUAGGAAGACCAGGUACUGUAGGUG
rnacentral:rRNA from 1 species